AUUGAACGCUGGCGGCAGGCCUAACACAUGCAAGUCGAGCGGUAAAGAGAAGCUUGCUUCUCUUGAGAGCGGCGGACGGGUGAGUAAUGCCUAGGAAUCUGCCUGGUAGUGGGGGAUAACGCUCGGAAACGGACGCUAAUACCGCAUACGUCCUACGGGAGAAAGCAGGGGACCUUCGGGCCUUGCGCUAUCAAAUGAGCCUAGGUCGGAUUACCUAGUUGGUGAGGUAAUGGCUCACCAAGGCGACAAUCCGUAACUGGUCUGAGAGGAUGAUCAGUCACACUGGAACUGAAACACGGUCCAAACUCCUACGGGAGGCAGCAGUGGGGAAUAUUGGACAAUGGGCGAAAGCCUGAUCCAGCCAUGCCGCGUGUGUGAAGAAGGUCUUCGGAUUGUAAAGCACUUUAAGUUGGGAGGAAGGGCAGUUACCUAAUACGUAUCUGUUUUGACGUUACCGACAGAAUAAGCACCGGCUAACUCUGUG
rnacentral:rRNA from 1 species